GGCGGACGCGACGGUACCUUCGCAGGGUCCCGCCCACGGGCGCACCUGCGGGUUCGGCCCACGCAACUGCUAGAUGUGGAACGCUGCGCGGAAAGAUUGUUCAGGGACACUUUUUGAAGGAUGUGGGGGGGGGGAAUGUGCGUGAACAGUAAAGCGCUUGCGUUUUCCGGAACGCAAGAAGAUAAUCAUUACUCGAUUUUACGGAGUACCUUUGAUUCGGGAACCAGCCGCUGGAGAAGUGCAGUCCCCGGAGCGCGCGCUCCCAGCGAGGGCGCAGAGAAGGCAGGAAACAAGCGCCUUGUUCGGGACCCAGCCGCGGACCUGCGUUCAUACUUAGGACCUCAGGCCCAGCACUGGAACGUGUGCUCACCUCUUCUGUCUGCCAGAGAGCGAAGUUACAGCACUGGGCUAUGCUUGGCCGGCAGGAUAGAUCGGUUUUACCAGGUGAUUUCUCCCCAAGAACACCCAUGUGAGAUACCCAGCCCACCUCAGGCUCCCAGGAGGAGGGGAGCUUUUGCUCCAGUUUGUUACAAAGGAAGGGAAAUCACACUGUCUUGCAAGUCACUGACAUCAGACUUCCUGACAAUGCCUGGACCCCUGAGAGGCCAUGGAACUGUGGGUGUCAUCCAGGCCAAGGAUGCUAUGGGGUCACCAUGCCCCACCGUCUACCUGCGCUCUGCUUCAGACAGCUCCUGACCAGACAGGAACCAAGACAAAGGCAGCCCCCAGGUCUGCAGCCGUUGGCCGUCCCUUCCGUCCAGCAUUCUGCAAGCCCCCGAGCGUGCGUGGCGGAAGCUGACUUGUGCACCGAGAGCUACAGAGCCCCACGUCGGUGGAGGUGUACACAGCUCGAGACAGCCCCGUGUCCUGACGGCAGAGUGUGAGGAGCUCGUUGGCGUGACUUCGCAUUCACACUGCGGCCAGCGCUUAAGAAGCUGCCCCACACGAAGCUCCGGUUUGAUAUUAAAGAACAAUCUUUAAUACAUGCUUUCCUUCAGCUGUGGGUCUGAGACCAGAUUGUCUCGUCUGCUUCAUCCAUUCUCACUGUUGUUCCUAAGAAAAUAUCACUCAUCUUGUUUUCGUUUUUUUUUUAAGCAAACAUUUUCAUUAGAUGUUUGUGCCGUGUUAUCACCACAUGUUUUCUCCAGGUCACUGAAAUCAGAUCCACUUUUUCAGGGUCCAGUUAAUAUCCUAGAGCCUUUGAUUUUACUGUUGUUUUUCCACUUUGCUUUUAUUUUACAUCUUUUAUACUUUCAUUUCAUUUUACUUUUCCAUUAUUCUGUCAUUUUCCAUCAUAUCUUAUAGAUCUUCUAAAAAUAAGGGUUUUUUAAAAAGUGAGAUUAUGAUUUACAUUGAUUUUUUUUUGUGAGUGAGUACAGUUGACACACAAUAUUAUUUUUCAUUUGAAAAUGUUAUGUUAUGGGGAGGGGGGGCACCUGGGUGGCUCAGUCGUUAAGUGUCUGCCUUCGGCUCAGGGCGUGAUCCCGGCGUUCCGGGAUCGAGCCCCACAUCGGGCUCCUCCGAUGGGAGCCUGCUUCUCCCUCUCCCACUCGCCCUGCUUGUGUUCCCUCUCUCGCUGGCUGUCUCUCUCUCUCUCAAAUAAAUAAAUAAAAUCUUAAAAAAAAAUGUUAUGU
ensembl:lncRNA